rnacentral:rRNA from 1 species
CCUACGGGCGGCUGCAGUGAGGAAUAUUGGUCAAUGGCCGUAAGGCUGAACCAGCCAAGUCGCGUGAAGGAAGAAGGACCUAUGGUUUGUAAACUUCUUUUAUAGGGGAAUAAAGGUAUCCACGUGUGGCUUUUUGCAUGUACCUCAUGAAUAAGCAUCGGCUAACUCCGUGCCAUCAGCCGCGGUAAUACGGAGGAUGCGAGCGUUAUCCGGAUUUAUUGGGUUUAAAGGGUGCGUAGGUUGUUUUUUAAGUCAGCGGUUAAAUUUUGUGGCUCAACCGUAAAAUUGCCGUUGAAACUGGAAGACUUGAGUGUGUUUGAGGUAGGCGGAAUGCGUGGUGUAGCGGUGAAAUGCAUAGAUAUCACGCAGAACUCCGAUUGCGAAGGCAGCUUAC